rnacentral:lncRNA from 1 species
UGAAGAUGUAACGAGCAAUUUAGUAAAAUAAAUUUGUCGUAAUCUUUUACGGUUGCGAAGGAGUAGUGGCCACAAGAAAAACAGUGUUUGGGGAGAUAACUCUUACAACGCAAAGUAUUUAAUUACACGGUUGUCACUUUUAAAGCGUAUAAACUAUACAAUAUCAUAUUCCAAAUAUCUAAGCGACAUCUUUUGAAACAACAAAACUACGCAAGAAAAAAAUUAGGCGGAAG